rnacentral:rRNA from 1 species
GAUGAACGCUGGCGGUAUGCUUAACACAUGCAAGUCGAACGGACUCUUCGGAGUUAGUGGCGGACGGGUGAGUAACGCGUGAGAAUCUGGCUUUGGGUUCGGGACAACCACUGGAAACGGUGGCUAAUACCGGAUGUGCCGAGAGGUAAAAGAGAAAUUGCCUGAAGAUGAGCUCGCGUCUGAUUAGCUAGUUGGUGAGGUAAAGGCUCACUAAGGCAGCGAUCAGUAGCUGGUCUGAGAGGAUGACCAGCCACACUGGGACUGAGACACGGCCCAGACUCCUACGGGAGGCAGCAGUGGGGAAUUUUCCGCAAUGGGCGAAAGCCUGACGGAGCAAUACCGCGUGAGGGAAGAAGGCUCUUGGGUUGUAAACCUCUUUUCUUAGGGAAGAACAAAAUGACGGUACCUAAGGAAUCAGCAUCGGCUAACUCCGUG